UAAGGAAUAUUGGUCAAUGGACGCAAGUCUGAACCAGCCAUGCCGCGUGGAGGAUGAAGGUCCUCUGGAUUGUAAACUUCUUUUAUCUGGGACGAAACACUUCUUUUCUAAGAGGCCUGACGGUACCAGAUGAAUAAGCACCGGCUAACUCCGUGCCAGCAGCCGCGGUAAUUCGGAGGGUGCAAGCGUUAUCCGGAUUCACUGGGUUUAAAGGGUGCGUAGGUGGGUAUGUAAGUCAGAGGUGAAAUCCCCGAGCGUAACUUGGGAACUGCCUUUGAUACUUUAUAUCUUGAAUGCCGUAGAGGUCAGCGGAAUAUGUCAUGUAGCGGUGAAAUGCUUAGAUAUGACAUGGAACACCAAUUGCGAAGGCAGCUUACUAUGCGGUUAUUGACACUGAGGCACGAAAGCGUGGGUAGCAAACA
rnacentral:rRNA from 1 species